CCGAAAUGCAUUAUUCUUCAUUCAUGGUUAUGCUUGGGUUGAAAUUAUGCAGCUUGGAUACAAGUGAGUGAGGGAAGCAACGUUCCUGUAACAGCAGUUGUGAAAACAACUACAAGAUUAAAUUUGCUGGUGCCAGUUUUGCUGAGUCUAAUUGUUGGUCUAUGCUUAAGGGUGGUCUCACAGUGGAUGAAUCAGGACCCGCUGAGCUCUAUUUUGAGGCUCCUUUCUGAAAGGAGGUUAUGCAAAUUAUCAGGAACCACAGAUCAAAAUGGAUUCUUUGAGGCCAAUCUUUUUCAUCGAGACUAUGAAAUGGAAAUCAGUCACCCUGCUAUGAAGAAUUACACCUGCAGUUUCAACUCGAGAAGCUUAUUGACAACUAUGUCAGUACUUGCUACUCCUCUGAAACUUCAACAAUCUCUAUGAUUUUCUAAAUUUUUUUUACCUUCGCAAUUUCAACGCUCUCAUAUCACCCAGACAAUUACCAUUCCUUCAGACUCUCUUCUCAAUGAACUUCGAAUUGUUGAGGGAUUUAUGAGGCCCUUGAAUUGAGAGAUGGAGCAAUUUCUUGCCAUUCAUGGCAUUUCUUAUCUCAACCGGAGCAGUUUCCCGCAAGACUUUAUUUUCGGGUCAUCAUCCUCAGCAUAUCAGGGCUCUGAUUUUGUGGCAAAAGCUGUGGAUUUAGCAGCCAGAGAAUUAAUAACAAGUGCAUCACUAGGACAAGUUACACAGGUACAACUUGACCGAGCCAAGGUAUCCACGAAGUCUGCAGUUCUAAUGAAUUUAGAGUCCAGAGUAUGCUCUUUCUAACUCUCACUGGUAGUUUGAAUGAUAUCUAAUUUCUUUAAUUUGAAUGAUAUCUAAUUUUUUUCAUUUACUCUUCUCUUCGCACCUGAAUUAAAAAUAAUGUGUCCCUCUUGCGUCUUUGCUUCCUUCUAUAUUAUGAUAUAUUUUGCCGAAUCCCAAAAAAAAAA